rnacentral:rRNA from 1 species
CCUACGGGGGGCAGCAGUGGGGAAUAUUGCGCAAUGGGGGCAACCCUGACGCAGCAACGCCGCGUGAUUGAAGAAGGCCUUCGGGUUGUAAAGAUCUUUAAUUAGGGACGAAAACAAUGACGGUACCCAAAGAAUAAGCUCCGGCUAACUACGUGCCAGCAGCCGCGGGAAUACGUAGGGAGCAAGCGUUAUCCGGAUUUACUGGGUGUAAAGGGCGAGUAGGCGGGCGGGCAAGUUGGGAGUGAAAUCCCGGGGCUCAACCCCGGAACUGCUUUCGAAACUGCUGGGCUUGAGUGAUGGAGAGGCAGGCGGAAUGCCGGGUGUAGCGGUGAAAUGCGUAGAUAUACGGCGGAACACCAGUGGCGAAGGCGGCCUGCUGGACAUUAACUGACGUUGAGGAGCGAAAGCGUGGGGAGCAAACAGGAUUAGAUACCCUUGUAGUC